rnacentral:rRNA from 1 species
CCUACGGGAGGCAGCAGUGGGGGAAUAUUGGGGCAAUGGAGGAAACUCUGACCCAGCGACGCCGCGUGCGGGAUGAAGGCCUUCGGGUUGUAAACCGCUUUCAGCAGGGAAGAAGCGAAAGUGACGGUACCUGCAGAAGAAGCACCGGCUAACUAUGUGCCAGCAGCCGCGGUAAUACAUAGGGUGCAAGCGUUGUCCGGAAUUAUUGGGCGUAAAGAGCUCGUAGGUGGUUCGUCACGUCGGAUGUGAAAAUCUGGGGCUUAACCCCAGACCUGCAUUCGAUACGGGCGAGCUUGAGUAUGGUAGGGGAGUCUGGAAUUCCUGGUGUAGCGGUGGAAUGCGCAGAUAUCAGGAGGAACACCAAUGGCGAAGGCAGGACUCUGGGCCAUUACUGACACUGAGGAGCGAAAGCGUGGGGAGCGAACAGGAUUAGAUACCCUGGUAGUCCACGCCGUAAACGGUGGGACACUAGUUGUGGGGACCUUCCGACGGUCUCUGCGACGCAGCUAACGCAUUAAGUGCCCCGCUGGGGAUACGAUCGNAGAUUAAACCUUAAUGAAUUGACGG